UACAGAGGUCUCAAGCGUUGUUCGGAUUCAUUGGGCGUAAAGGGUGCGUAGGCGGCGCGGUAAGUCGGGUGUGAAAUCUCGGAGCUUAACUCCGAAACUGCAUUCGAUACUGCCGUGCUUGAGGACUGGAGAGGAGACUGGAAUUUACGGUGUAGCGGUGAAAUGCGUAGAUAUCAGGAGGAACACCGGUGGUGUAGACGGCUUUCUGGACCGACACUGACGCUGAGACACGAAAGCGUGGGUAGCAAACAGG
rnacentral:rRNA from 1 species